UUGUUAGCGUCACUUAGAAGUGAGGAAACAAGUUCCAAAAGCUUGUUACUUGCUUGUAGUCAAACAGAAGGCAGAGCUGCGAAUCAAAUCCAGGUUUGUCUCGACAUGACACUAGCUCAUACUUCUCUUGGAUCAGCCACCAAAUGGCUUUCACUCCAGUGAGCAGCAACCAGAACCAGGGACCACAUUCCCAUGCUGACAGUAUGGGCUGCUGUCUUCAGGACCAUUGCAAGUGUCCUUCAAGGUUCGGUUCACAUUUCACAAGCCCCAUGAAGUCUAUCUGGAUUUUCAAUGGAUGUCUUACCUUCUCCUCUACAUGCUACAGGAAGAGUGGCCACCCCUGCCAAGGGCCUAGUAUAGUACCCUAUCCAUGUAGAUGAUCAGUUGAUUGUUACUGAUCACGCGUAUCCUGCAUCAUGUUGUAAAAAAUUAACACAGUGCUUGGCACAUACUUGUACUGAAUAAAUAUUUGCUGAAUUGACUUAAAGUGUUGGAUGCCAUAGACCUCUGAGAAUAUAUAAUUUCUAUGUAUCACUCUCCUAGCAGAAUAAGAGAAAAUUAGAACUUGGGAAGAAGUCAUAUCUAAUUCUUUUCUAUUUUUAUUUCAUGUUAUUUCUUUUUUUUAAGAAAUGAGGUCUCACUCUGUCACCCAUUCUGGGAUGCAGUGGCACGAUCAUAGCUCACUACAGCCUCGAACUCCUGGAGUCAAGCAAUCCUGCCACCUCAGCUUCCAAGUAGUUGGAGCUAUAGCUGCACACCAUUGUACGUGGCUAAUUUUUAUUCAUUUUUUUUUUUAUAGAGAGGAGGUCUCGCUAUGUUGCCCAGGCUGGUCUUAAACUCCUCAAGUGAUCCUCCUGCCUUGGCCUCCCAAAGUGCUGGGAUUACCAGCAGGAGCCACUGUGCCUGGCCAAUUCUUGUUCAGCUACAGUUUAUUUUCCUAUUGCUUUUUGGAAUGUAAUUUAAACUUUACACUUCAGUUAUCCCAUUUGUCAAAUGCAUACAUGGUUUUGUGGCCAAUAACCUGUACAUGGACACAGUAAAGUUAAAAAAAUAAAGAUGCACAGAAUUUUGAUGCUGAUAGGUAUCAUAAAAUAAUGUGAUCCAAACUAAGGAGAUACCUGAGCUCAGAGACAUUAAAAAGACUGCCCUAAGUUUUUUUUUUUUUUAAUCUAUCAAAGAGCUCAUCCAGCACGCAAGUGUCCUGCUUUCUGAUCUAGCGCCUUUCUAGCACCCUGGGCUUGGUUGUCAGAAUAGCAUUUGCUCAUAAGGUUUUUAAAUUAUUAAUACAGUAUACUAAAUCCCAGGAGUAGAAUAAGUCUCGUUAUUAUGGCUAGUAAGUCAGCCCAAAGCAAUCUGAUAUUCCCGUAAAACUGAAUGGAUUUUGAAGCUCCUGUAAAACUGAGCCCAUCCUUGGGCUCACUGGCCUCAGAGGGGACCAUCAUCUCAUUUACCUAUUUAAGAAAAACCCCAUAAAAUAGUGUUCUGUGUGGACAUUCAUUAUGUCUUAAGCUUUAUUGAUUCUGUUAUGUUGCCGUUAAUUAUAGGAACCACAAAAGCCUUCAAUUAGAUUAAAGCCAUAAUAAAUAAUAUUAGUAACACUUA